ensembl:lncRNA
UGCAGCAGGUCACCGGUUUAUGCAAAAUGUGAAUCAACCCCAUCCAUAUCCUAUCCCAAAUGGCACCCUAGUCCCUAUGUAGUGCACUACUUUUGACCAGGGCCCAUAGGGUGCCGUUUGGGAUGUUGGAGUCUAUAUCUCAACUCAACUGUAUCAGUCUCCGGGUCAGAGAGGGAAAGGGUUUUGUCUGUCCUGUAUCUGGUUUGAUUGAAAAAGUUUGUUCUGAGCCCUGUUGUGUUUACAUUGUACGUAGUGCUACAGAGUCCUAUAUCAAAAACAAAGUGAGGAAGAUUGACAAGCAGCACGAGUAUCUAUGACUUGAAUGCAUUUAUCUUCAGUUUGAUAAAAAGAAAAGUUUAUUUUGACCCCGUCAUGUAUAUAUUCAUGAAUAAUUAUUAUUAUUGGGUGUUUUACAAUGGGUCCCAGAUGUAUAACCCAUAUGCUUAUUUGGCCGCUCUCAUUGCAUUAUUCUCCACCAUUUUUAAUGUGCGUCUGAAAUGGCACAGUAUUCCCUAUAUAGUGCACUACUUUUGACCAGAGCAAUAGGGCUGGUCAAAAGCAGUGCACUAUAAAUGGAAUAGGGUGCCAUUUUGGACAAGUGCUCAUCCCUCCUUUUUAUGAUGCUGAUAUUUCUUGAAGGGAAACAUGUCUGGAGAAGUUCACCUGUCUGUUCUUUAUGAUGAUUAACUGGACAUGAUCUAAACAACAAAACAGAAGGAAAACAGUCAGGGUUGAUUACAAAGGGGGAGAAAAUGGGCUCUAAAAGUAGUUUGCCUCCAGAUAUUUUUUAAAACAGUUUGUUGUAUAAUAUUCCAGCUGUACUCUGCCUGCAAAGGCAUUUUACUACAAUAAAGUGCAUUCAUUCUGAGGUUAACUGUCAUAACCCACCUUUCCUUCUCGUGGUGUCUUUAAACUGAAAGGAAGUGUAAAGGUUACAACAUAAAAAUGGAAUGUAUUGAUCUUUACUGAAUAUUCAGGGAUAUAGACUAAAUGUAUACUAAGGGUCUCCAGCCUUAAAUGUCACCCAUUUCUAUUAUUUAUCACAUCUUGUUGUCAUUGACAUACGUCAAUGUUGUUCACAACUUAAGGUCUAUACUGUAGAGCUAGUAGGCUUGCCUUUCAUUGGGGCGAGGGGUAUUGUUUGGGUCCAGGUGUGUUGGGGAAAGAGCACAGACACGCACAACAGAUUUAUAAAAGCAAAAUAAAUGUAUUCCUUGCUGUGUGAGAAAUUACUUCCUAGAAGUUGAUAUUAAUCAUCUCAAACAUUUGAGGGAAAUUUCCCCCUUUUGUCAACUUUAUAAUUUAAUACCAAAAUGGCAGUCCUCCGACAAAGGGUCUGGAUUGUCCACUUGAAAAGGCAAAUUGCGAUGAGUAGGCAAUGUAUCAAUGGGUGCUAAUAUGAACAUUGGCAUGGAAUUGUCUCAUGUCAGUGCCUCCUGAAAUGGUGUGUUUACAUGCUCUUUCGUUUCUUUCUUCAUUCGGUGACCUUUUGAAUUCACAACAGACAGUAGGGGAUGAAUAAGACUUGGCAAUAAAAUGCAUGA